AAUCAUUUCAAACUAUUUAGUAUGUUAUGUAAAUUUGUGUUAUAGGAACAAAACAUUAUAGCAACAAUCAGUUCAGUACGUGCUGCAUAAUUCUACAAUAAUAAGACUUAAUCUAGACUUUUGCAGCCAGAAAGAAGGAAUUAGUAUGGCAUGCUUUUUCUUAGCGUCUGUUUCUAUGGUGACUCAUCAAUUCGUCUGUUUUGUUGAGAAUGUCUUGUGUGUUCAUGGUUAACAUACUCUGGGCUGGAUAAACUUACUCACGGAUGUAUUUUUAAAUUCCCCAUGGCAUAAACUAUGACAGAAAUCAAAUUAAAACCCAGGAGGAAGUGGGUGAGGAUGACAGGUUCAUAGAUUGUAAUCAGAACAAAAAUGCGUUCAGGGAACAUUUCCUGAAAAAUUGCAAUAUAAAUGUGACUAAAAACCAAGAGCUCUUCAGACUUCAACUGAAGACAUCUGAAGAUCAGGAGACUUCUUUUCUUAACAUACCCAAGCCACGCAUAGAUCCCAUGAGGUAUUUCAAAACACAGUGAGCUGUGUGUAAAGGUUUGAAACACAAACAGGGACAAAUGUCUUCUGACAGAACUCAUGGGCAGUGUCCAUCGCCUUCUCCCUCGAGUGCAGAAGCCUCCAAAGCAGCAUCUGCAAAUGCAGCAGCAGGAGAAGGCAUGGCAAGUCUACAAUCACCACUGCUAGCAAAUAUAUGGAAACAAUCACCAUUAAAAUUAACAGUAAUAAUGGCACUGAUAGUUGCAGCAGCUGAAAUAAUAAUAGAAAUGGCAGGACCAGCAGUUUUUAACAGAGUUGUAGGACCAGUAGCAGGAGCAGCAACAGGAGCAGGACUAUGCAUUUUAAGAUCACUA